rnacentral:rRNA from 1 species
GGGCCCGCACAAGCGGUGGAGCAUGUGGUUUAAUUCGAUGCAACGCGAAGAACCUUACCUACUCUUGACAUCCAGAGAACUUAGCAGAGAUGCUUUGGUGCCUUCGGGAACUCUGAGACAGGUGCUGCAUGGCUGUCGUCAGCUCGUGUUGUGAAAUGUUGGGUUAAGUCCCGCAACGAGCGCAACCCUUAUCCUUUGUUGCCAGCGGUUCGGCCGGGAACUCAAAGGAGACUGCCAGUGAUAAACUGGAGGAAGGUGGGGAUGACGUCAAGUCAUCAUGGCCCUUACGAGUAGGGCUACACACGUGCUACAAUGGCGUAUACAAAGAGAAGCGACCUCGCGAGAGCAAGCGGACCUCAUAAAGUACGUCGUAGUCCGGAUUGGAGUCUGCAACUCGACUCCAUGAAGUCGGAAUCGCUAGUAAUCGUAGAUCAGAAUGCUACGGUGAAUACGUUCCCGGGCCUU